rnacentral:lncRNA from 1 species
CCCGUCGUCGCCCUCGCCCACCACAUCGAUGUCCACGUCCUCGGCCGUCAGCACCGUCUGGCCGGACAUGUCGCUGGCGCUGCCGCCGCCGGAGAGGGUCAUCCCUCCUCGGGAUCCAGCGGGAGGCGGGGCCACGUGACCGUGCGUGACGUCAGGGCCGCGGCCGAGCCGGCCAAACUCAAGUUGGUUCAGGGAAUUGUCAACAAAGGGACGAGAGACGCGCAACUCCGCUCCGCACUGUGCGCCAGCAUCCCCGGGGCACGGAGGGCGCUGCGGCCCGCCCGGAGACCCCCCCACCCAGGCUGGAUCCGGGCCCUGGGGCCCAGGGAGCGGGUGGGUGUGAGUGUGGGUGGGUGUGAGCGAGUCAGGGCGUGGGCCUGGGAGCGUCCGCGGGACUGUGCGACUGUCGCUGCCCUGCCUUCCCCGCCCCCUCUCCCUUCCGCCCUUCUCCCCCCCACUUUGUCACACUCCUUAGACAGGGACUGGGCGACCUAGAACGAGGUUCCCAUAUCGUGUUUUAAAAAGCAAAACUUAGUCUCUGUUUUGCUUUUUGUUUCAUUGUUUUUAGCUUUAAAGAGUAAGAGCAGCGCACCCGGCUCCCUCCUGCUAAUUAGAUUUCAGAUUCCCCUCUGGCCUCAGUGCUCAUUCCGGGGAAGACACCUGCUGAGAUGUCUUUUUCCCCCUCCCCCAACCAAACCACUCAGGUCCUACCUGCUCUUUCCCGGCUUGAUGCGGGCGUGUUUUCCUGUAUGUAUUUUUUCGUGCGGCCACAAAAAGCAUCAGCUGGGGUUCCCGAAGGUCAGAAAAUGGCUAUUGAUUAAUCUACUAGAAUAGUUGCCGAGAGAAAUAAAAACGACGUAAAAUAGCAGGGAACCUAUAAAUAAAGAAGCCAUAACUGGCUACUUGGAGUUGUUAAACGACUUAGCAUAUGAAAAAAUCGGAAAUGAGGCGCUGGGGAAGGAGCUGGGAUUGGCAGCGGCCUGGGUGUGGACAAAUCCUCCAAGAUUUAACUUCCAAGAAAACCGGCGGCGGAGCGGGUGGAGGAGGCGAGGAUGUGUGGCCAAUGCACGCGGAGUGCAAGGCCGCCUAGUUGGGAGCCGCAAGAGCCUGCCUGGUGUGGCAGGCACACGGAACCCAAUCCCUGUCUGUCCGCUGCGGCCUGGGAGGGGAGCGCCGGCCUCACCAGAGGAAGGAGCACGAGGGGAGGAGUUCCGAGAGGAAAUAAUUAGUGAAAUAUUUGCAGAAGAUGCUGGGAUGUGGAUUUAAUUCCGGAUGGACAGUGGUGCUUCUGAUUCCCUCAGUCUGUUUCCCCACCCACGAUCUCCUCUUUCCUUGGCCUAGACACACCAAAAAUAAUUCAAUAAAAUAAAAAUAAAAAUUUAAAAAUCUGUAAACUUGCUUCAUUACAGGCAUUGAGACACACAGAUUGACUUUCAUCCCCAUUAGACAGUUUCCCAGGAUAUAACACUACUCAUCUGAGGCUGGGAGCAGGGUAGGGGGUGGUGACA